GAUGAACGCUGGCGGCGUGCCUAAUACAUGCAAGUCGAGCGAACAGACGAGGAGCUUGCUCCUCUGACGUUAGCGGCGGACGGGUGAGUAACACGUGGAUAACCUACCUAUAAGACUGGGAUAACUUCGGGAAACCGGAGCUAAUACCGGAUAAUAUAUUGAACCUCAUGGUUCAAUAGUUAAAGACGGUUUUGCUGUCACUUAUAGAUGUAUCCGCGCCGCAUUAGCUAGUUGGUAAGGUAACGGCUUACCAAGGCAACGAUGCGUAGCCGACCUGAGAGGGUGAUCGGCCACACUGGAACUGAGACACGGUCCAGACUCCUACGGGAGGCAGCAGUAGGGAAUCUUCCGCAAUGGGCGAAAGCCUGACGGAGCAACGCCGCGUGAGUGAUGAAGGUCUUCGGAUCGUAAAACUCUGUUAUUAGGGAAGAACAAAUGUGUAAGUAACUAUGCACGUCUUGACGGUACCUAAUCAGAAAGCCACGGCUAACUACGUG
rnacentral:rRNA from 1 species